rnacentral:rRNA from 1 species
UACGGAGGGGGCUAGCGUUGUUCGGAAUUACUGGGCGUAAAGCGCACGUAGGCGGCUUUGUAAGUUAGAGGUGAAAGCCUGGUGCUCAACAUCAGAACUGCCUUUAAAACUGCAUCGCUUGAAUCCAGGAGAGGUGAGUGGAAUUCCGAGUGUAGAGGUGAAAUUCGUAGAUAUUCGGAAGAACACCAGUGGCGAAGGCGGCUCACUGGACUGGUAUUGACGCUGAGGUGCGAAAGCGUGGGGAGCAAACAGG